GUCCCUGUGUGUGUACAUGAUUCUUAUAUGGCGACGAUCUCAAGUCUGCUAUUUUGUGUCAGCGGAGAAUAACAUUCUGAAAAGGACAGAGGAAGAUGGGAUCUGUUUGCCUAGCAAGUACCGUAAUCAGUUUAUAGGAUUCCCACCACAAUAUCUGGCUGAACAUUCUCAGAUAAGCUGUGGACAACUUUAGGCAUCUGUCCCCGACACUGAUGAUGGGGAGCAAAAUCUUGCUUCCAGGACUGGGUCAUUUGAGUGACUGAGCUCCAGUGUCCUGAAGGAUCCCUGCAACAAACUAGCAAUUCCUGUGGAUGAAUCCUUCUAAUGGAUGACUACAUAUCCUGAAAGUGAGUGAGUGAUGACCAAGAAAGACUUAAGACUAAAAGCCUGGAAUGUACCAUGGAGGAUCACUUCCCUGGACAGGACAGCACACUUCAGUGCAUACAUUGGAAGAAAAUUAUAUUGGAUCUAGGUUGGCUUUCAUCUUCAGAACAAAGACUUCAAGAAUUUCCCCCCGGGGACCAAUAAAGUAUCUAUCUAUCUAUCUAUCUAUCUAUCUAU